GUGUCCGUAGCUCAGUAGAACAGAGCGUGAGUUUCCGAAGCUCAAGGUCAGGGGUUUGACUCCCCUCGGACACG
rnacentral:tRNA from 3 species